GACGAACGCUGGCGGCGUGCUUAACACAUGCAAGUCGAACGAGGCCCCUCCUUCGGGAGGGUGUCCUAGUGGCGAACGGGUGAGUAACACGUGGGCAACCCGCCCCCGGCUCUGGGAUAACUCCAAGAAAUUGGGGCUAAUACCGGAUAUGACCGCUGACCGCAUGGUCUGGUGGUGGAAAGUUUUUCGGCUGGGGAUGGGCCCGCGGCCUAUCAGCUUGUUGGUGGGGUAGUGGCCUACCAAGGCGACGACGGGUAGCCGGCCUGAGAGGGUGACCGGCCACACUGGGACUGAGACACGGCCCAGACUCCUGCGGGAGGCAGCAGUGGGGAAUAUUGCGCAAUGGGCGGAAGCCUGACGCAGCGACGCCGCGUGGGGGAUGACGGCCUUCGGGUUGUAAACCUCUUUCAGCAGGGACGAAGCGAAAGUGACGGUACCUGCAGAAGAAGCACCGGCCAACUACGUGCCAGCCGCCGCCGUAACAC
rnacentral:rRNA from 1 species